ensembl:lncRNA novel transcript
AUAACAGUCAAAAUGUGGAAGCAACCAAGUGUUCCUAAACAGGUGAACAGACAAACAAAACUCAGUCUAUCCGUACAGAGAAAUGCGAUUCAGGAAUGAGAGCCCGACGCAUGGGUGAACCUUGGGCACAUCACGCUGAGUGACAUGAACCUGACACAGAAGGACACGUACUGUAUGAAUCCACUUCUAUGAAAUAAUUAGAACAGGCAAAUCCGUAGAGACUGAAAGUAGAUGAGACACGUGACCAGAGGCUGGGGGGACGGAGGAAUGCAGAGUUGCUGUUUAAUGGGGACGGAGUUUCUGUCUGACGGAUAGAAAGGAUUUUGGAAAUAGUGGUGAUGGUUACACAAUAUUGUGCAUGUAACUAACAUCAUUGAACUGCACACUUAAAAAUGAUUAAAACAAAAAGAGUUCUGUUA